UGCACGGUGGUGCAGUUUGUAGCACUGUUGUCUUUCACAGAGAAGUUCCUGGGUUCGACUCCCAGCCUGUGGAG